GUUACUGCUAUCGGAGUUCGAUUAAGCCAUGCGAGUCUAAAGGUUUCUUCGGAAACCUUGGCGGACUGCUCAGUAACACGUGGAUAACCUACCCUUGGGACUGGAAUAACCCCGGGAAACUGGGGAUAAUACCGGAUAGAUCAGGGAUGCUGGAAUGCACCUUGAUCCAAAGCUCCGGCGCCCAAGGAUGGGUCUGCGACCUAUCAGGUUGUAGUGGGUGUAACGUACCUACUAGCCGACGACGGGUACGGGUUGUGAGAGCAAGAGCCCGGAGAUGGAUUCUGAGACACGAAUCCAGGCCCUACGGGGUGCAGCAGGCGCGAAACCUUUACAGUGUGCGAAAGCAUGAUAAGGGAACUCCGAGUGCCAGUAUCUAAUACUGGCUGUCCUUGUGCCUAAAACGCACAAGAUAGCAAGGGCCGGGUAAGACCGGUGCCAGCCGCCGCGGUAACACCGGCGGCCCGAGUGGUAGCCGCUAUUAUUGGGUCUAAAGGGUCCGUAGCCGGUUCGAUAAGUCCUCUGGGAAAUCUGGUUGCUUAACAAUCAGACUGCCAAGGGAUACUGUCGAACUUGAGACCGGGAGAGGUAAGAGGUACUUCAGGGGUAGGAGUGAAAUCUUGUAAUCCCUGGGGGACCAUCUGUGGCGAAGGCGUCUUACCAGAACGGGUCUGACGGUGAGGGACGAAAGCUGGGGGCGCAAACCGGAUUAGAUACCCGGGUAGUCCCAGCCGUAAACGAUGCUCGCUAUGUGUCAGGUACGGUGUGACCGUAUCUGGUGCCGUAGGGAAGCCGUGAAGCGAGCC
rnacentral:rRNA from 1 species